rnacentral:rRNA from 1 species
UUGAACGCUGGCGGCAUGCCUUACCCAUGCAAGUCGAACGGCAGCAUGAUCUAGCUUGCUCGAUUGAUGGCGAGUGGCGAACGGGUGAGUAAUACAUCGGAACGUGCCCUGUAGUGGGGGAUAACUAGUCGAAAGAUUAGCUAAUACCGCAUACGACCUGAGGGUGAAAGUGGGGGACCGCAAGGCCUCAUGCUAUAGGAGCGGCCGAUGUCUGAUUAGCUAGUUGGUGAGGUAAAGGCUCACCAAGGCGACGAUCAGUAGCUGGUCUGAGAGGACGAUCAGCCACACUGGGACUGAGACACGGCCCAGACUCCUACGGGAGGCAGCAGUGGGGAAUUUUGGACAAUGGGCGAAAGCCUGAUCCAGCAAUGCCGCGUGUGUGAAGAAGGCCUUCGGGUUGUAAAGCACUUUUGUCCGGAAAGAAAUGGCUCUGGUUAAUACCUGGGGUCGAUGACGGUACCGGAAGAAUAAGGACCGGCUAACUACGUG